GAUGAACGCUAGCGGCAGGCCUAAUACAUGCAAGUCGGACGGGAUCCAUUGAUAGCUUGCUAUCAAUGGUGAGAGUGGCGCACGGGUGCGUAACGCGUGAGCAACCUGCCUCCAUCAGGGGGAUAGCCUCUCGAAAGAGAGAUUAACACCGCAUAAUAUCAACAGUUCGCAUGUUCAGUUGAUUAAAUAUUUAUAGGAUGGAGAUGGGCUCGCGUGACAUUAGCUAGUUGGUAGGGUAACGGCUUACCAAGGCGACGAUGUCUAGGGGCUCUGAGAGGAGAAUCCCCCACACUGGUACUGAGACACGGACCAGACUCCUACGGGAGGAAGCAGUAAGGAAUAUUGGUCAAUGGGCGGAAGCCUGAACCAGCCAUGCCGCGUGCAGGAUGACUGCCCUAUGGGUUGUAAACUGCUUUUGUCCAGGAAUAAACCUAAAUACGAGUAUUUAGCUGAAUGUACUGGAAGAAUAAGGAUCGGCUAACUCCGUG
rnacentral:rRNA from 1 species